rnacentral:rRNA from 1 species
GGACGAACGCUGGCGGCGUGCUUAACACAUGCAAGUCGAACGGAAAGGCCCUGCUUGCAGGGUACUCGAGUGGCGAACGGGUGAGUAACACGUGGGUGAUCUGCCCUGCACUUCGGGAUAAGCCUGGGAAACUGGGUCUAAUACCGGAUAGGCGCCAUUUUUAGUGUGAUGGUUGGAAAGUUUUUUCGGUGUAGGAUGAGCUCGCGGCCUAUCAGCUUGUUGGUGGGGUAAUGGCCUACCAAGGCGGCGACGGGUAGCCGGCCUGAGAGGGUGGACGGCCACAUUGGGACUGAGAUGCGGCCCAGACUCCGACGGGAGGCAGCAGUGGGGAAUAUUGGUCAAUGGGCGCAAGCCUGAUGCAGCGACGCCGCGUGGGGGAUGACGGCCUUCGGGUUGUAAACUCCUUUCGCUAGGGACGAAGCUUUUUGUGACGGUACCUAGAUAAGAAGCACCGGCUAACUACGUG